rfam:Egretta garzetta contig44560, whole genome shotgun sequence.
UUCAAGGUUUUCAUUGAAACCACAAAUAUUUCUAAAAAGAAAUUC